rnacentral:rRNA from 1 species
CAAGUCGAACGAUGAAGUGGAGCUUGCUCCACGGAUUAGUGGCGAACGGGUGAGGAACACGUGAGAAACCUGCCUCGGAUUUUGGGAUAACAAAUGGAAACGUUUGCUAAUACCAAAUAACGUCGGAGAGUCACAUGACUUUCUGACGAAAGGAAUUCCGAUUCGAGGGGGUCUCGCGGCCUAUCAGCUUGUUGGCGGGGUAAUGGCCCACCAAGGCAACGACGGGUAGCUGGUCUGAGAGGAUGGUCAGCCACACUGGGACUGAGACACGGCCCAGACUCCUACGGGAGGCAGCAGUGGGGAAUCUUGCGCAAUGGGCGAAAGCCUGACGCAGCAACGCCGCGUGCGGGAAGAAGGCUUUCGGGCUGUAAACCGCUUUCAGCAGGAACGAAAAUGACGGUACCUGCAGAAGAAGGAGCGGCCAACUAUGUGCCAGCAGCCGCGGUGAUACAUAGGCUUCAAGCGUUGUCCGGAUUUAUUGGGCGUAAAGAGUUCGUAGGCGGUCGAGUAAGUCGGGUGUGAAAAUUCUGGGCUCAACCCAGAGACGCCACCCGAUACUGCUUAACUUGAGUUCGAUAGGGGAGUGGGGAAUUCCUAGUGUAGCGGUGAAAUGCGCAGAUAUUAGGAGGAACACCGGUGGCGAAGGCGCCACUCUGGAUCGACACUGACGCUGAGGAACGAAAGCAUGGGUAGCAAACAGGAUUAGAUACCCUGGUAGUCCAUGCGGUAAACGGUGGGCACUAGGUGUGGGUUUCUAUUAACGAAAUCCGCGCCGUCGCUAACGCAUUAAGUGCCCCGCCUGGGGAGUACGGUCGCAAGACUAAAACUCAAAGGAAUUGACGG